AAAGAUACCUAGAUAUCGUUACAAAGGAUAUAGAUAUAACAUACUGGAUUUCGAUAUAAAAGUAAAAAUAAAUAAAAAUAGUGUGAGAUACUAUUUUUAUUGGAUUUAGUGGAGUAAAAUAUAAGUCAGAAAUGACUUGUACUGAAAUCGGAACGAAAACAGAAGAUUUAGAAUUUUUUGUAAGAGACGGGGCUGAUAUUUUAGCAGAAAAUGAACAAUGUCAAAAAAUUAUGAAAAUUGAAGAAUAUGUCGGGAUUAUUUUUAUGAGGCUAGAUUUCAAGUUUCAGGUCAAUCCGACACCCGGAAGGUAGAAAAUAAAAUCCGAUUGCUAUCUGCUAGAGAUUACAGUUCGGAAGAGCUUUUGGUGACCAAAUGUGGUCGAAAAUGAAAGAUUAAAAUUUCUUUCGUUAAGUUAAGUAAAAACGAGCCUGACUGUCAAAUUUGAGCUCAAACGGAUAUUCAGAAGGGCAGGCGAAAAAUAUCUGUACCGGAGCUACAAAACUGAAUGUAAUUGUGUUAAUGUUGAGGGGCUAAUUUGUGAAAAGGGA
rnacentral:lncRNA from 1 species